CUUAAAAGUUUAAAAAAAGGUGAAGGUGAGAUUUAAAACAAAAACAAAAACAAAAAACAGUUUUUCUGGCUUGAGCCCCAAGUCAUUGUAAUUCAACAAACUGAUUACACAUAUCUUGAAUCAUUUAAUUCCCACAGGAACUUGUGAGGUAAGUGUUAUUAAUACCAGUUUACAGAUGCAGAUGCUCAGAGGGGAAAGAAAGUCUGAGGGCAUUCAAUAGCUGUCUCAUGGGCUGGGAGUCCAGGACCAGGAAAAAGCACAUAGUAAAUGACAUUUGAGGAGCAGACUUUUAAAAUGUGAAUUGUCUCAUUUAAUUCUCACACUAAUUCCAUAAGAUAGGCAUUACUAGUCUCAAUUUACAGACAAGGAAUAUAAGACUUUGAGCCCAGGUCUGCUCAGCUGUGACACUCACAUCCCUCCAUCACCCAUGAGAUGUGUUCUGGUCAUCUCCUUGGGGACUGGCUGUCCAGAGUCGAAACACUUCAAAAUUAGUGCUUAGGUAAGGGGUGAAGAUCAGGGGAUAGACUGAGUAGUAAGUGCUGUGACAGAGGUCGUCUGGACCUCUGGCCUCUGGGUGCACAGCAACCCCUCGCGGCAGGAUUGCAACCGCGGAGGCCUGCAGCUGUGACUAAACUCGCGCCUCCUCCGCCGGCUUCGCGGCCCGCAAUCCACCCGGGCUAAUGGUGUCAACCUUGGAUUCCUCUCAAUGCCGAGCCCUGUGGCACCUGGGAAAGUCUCCACGCAGGAAGGC
rnacentral:lncRNA from 1 species